ACUGCCCCUAGAGGUAUUGCUGGUGUGGCUGUUGUGUCACAUGUGUCAGUAGGUGGCUACAUCAGGAGAGAGGCUAUGCCCACACUCAGUGUUCUGACCUGUGAACAUUUGAAGGAUUAGUAGCCUAACAAU